rnacentral:rRNA from 1 species
UACGAAGGGGGCUAGCGUUGCUCGGAAUCACUGGGCGUAAAGCGCACGUAGGCGGCUUCUUAAGUCAGGGGUGAAAUCCUGGAGCUCAACUCCAGAACUGCCUUUGAUACUGAGGAGCUCGAGUCCGGAAGAGGUGAGUGGAACUGCGAGUGUAGAGGUGAAAUUCGUAGAUAUUCGCAAGAACACCAGUGGCGAAGGCGGCUCACUGGUCCGGUACUGACGCUGAGGAGCGAAAGCGUGGGGAGCAAACAGG